rnacentral:rRNA from 1 species
UACGAAGGGGGCUAGCGUUGCUCGGAAUGACUGGGCGUAAAGGGCGCGUAGGCGGUUUGGACAGUUAGGCGUGAAAUUCCUGGGCUCAACCUGGGGGCUGCGCUUAAUACAUCCAGACUGGAGUGUGAAAGAGGGUCGUGGAAUUCCCAGUGUAGAGGUGAAAUUCGUAGAUAUUGGGAAGAACACCGGUGGCGAAGGCGGCGACCUGGUUCAUUACUGACGCUGAGGCGCGAAAGCGUGGGGAGGCAAACAGG